UGACUGCGUACCUUUUGUAUAAUGGGUCAGCGACUUAUAUUCUGUAGCAAGGUUAACCGAAUAGGGGAGCCGAAGGGAAACCGAGUCUUAACCGGGCGUUAAGUUGCAGGGUAUAGACCCGAAACCCGGUGAUCUAGCCAUGGGCAGGUUGAAGGUUGGGUAACACUAACUGGAGGACCGAACCGACUAAUGUUGAAAAAUUAGCGGAUGACUUGUGGCUGGGGGUGAAAGGCCAAUCAAACCGGGAGAUAGCUGGUUCUCCCCGAAAGCUAUUUAGGUAGCGCCUCGUGAAUUCAUCUCCGGGGGUAGAGCACUGUUUCGGCAAGGGGGUCAUCCCGACUUACCAACCCGAUGCAAACUGCGAAUACCGGAGAAUGUUAUCACGGGAGACACACGGCGGGUGCUAACGUCCGUCGUGAAGAGGGAAACAACCCAGACCGCCAGCUAAGGUCCCAAAGUCAUGGUUAAGUGGGAAACGAUGUGGGAAGGCCCAGACAGCCAGGAUGUUGGCUUAGAAGCAGCCAUCAUUUAAAGAAAGCGUAAUAGCUCACUGGUCGAGUCGGCCUGCGCGGAAGAUGUAACGGGGCUAAACCAUGCACCGAAGCUGCGGCAGCGACACUGUGUGUUGUUGGGUAGGGGAGCGUUCUGUAAGCCUGUGAAGGUGUGCUGUGAGGCAUGCUGGAGGUAUCAGAAGUGCGAAUGCUGACAUAAGUAACGAUAAAGCGGGUGAAAAGCCCGCUCGCCGGAAGACCAAGGGUUCCUGUCCAACGUUAAUCGGGGCAGGGUGAGUCGACCCCUAAGGCGAGGCCGAAAGGCGUAGUCGAUGGGAAACAGGUUAAUAUUCCUGUACUUGGUGUUACUGCGAAGGGGGGACGGAGAAGGCUAUGUUGGCCGGGCGACGGUUGUCCCGGUUUAAGCGUGUAGGCUGGUUUUCCAGGCAAAUCCGGAAAAUCAAGGCUGAGGCGUGAUGACGAGGCACUACGGUGCUGAAGCAACAAAUGCCCUGCUUCCAGGAAAAGCCUCUAAGCAUCAGGUAACAUCAAAUCGUACCCCAAACCGACACAGGUGGUCAGGUAGAGAAUACCAAGGCGCUUGAGAGAACUCGGGUGAAGGAACUAGGCAAAAUGGUGCCGUAACUUCGGGAGAAGGCACGCUGAUAUGUAGGUGAAGUCCCUCGCGGAUGGAGCUGAAAUCAGUCGAAGAUACCAGCUGGCUGCAACUGUUUAUUAAAAACACAGCACUGUGCAAACACGAAAGUGGACGUAUACGGUGUGACGCCUGCCCGGUGCCGGAAGGUUAAUUGAUGGGGUCAGCGCAAGCGAAGCUCUUGAUCGAAGCCCCGGUAAACGGCGGCCGUAACUAUAACGGUCCUAAGGUAGCGAAAUUCCUUGUCGGGUAAGUUCCGACCUGCACGAAUGGCGUAAUGAUGGCCAGGCUGUCUCCACCCGAGACUCAGUGAAAUUGAACUCGCUGUGAAGAUGCAGUGUACCCGCGGCAAGACGGAAAGACCCCGUGAACCUUUACUAUAGCUUGACACUGAACAUUGAGCCUUGAUGUGUAGGAUAGGUGGGAGGCUUUGAAGUGUGGACGCCAGUCUGCAUGGAGCCGACCUUGAAAUACCACCCUUUAAUGUUUGAUGUUCUAACGUGGACCCGUGAUCCGGGUUGCGGACAGUGUCUGGUGGGUAGUUUGACUGGGGCGGUCUCCUCCUAAAGAGUAACGGAGGAGCACGAAGGUUGGCUAAUCCUGGUCGGACAUCAGGAGGUUAGUGCAAUGGCAUAAGCCAGCUUGACUGCGAGCGUGACGGCGCGAGCAGGUGCGAAAGCAGGUCAUAGUGAUCCGGUGGUUCUGAAUGGAAGGGCCAUCGCUCAACGGAUAAAAGGUACUCCGGGGAUAACAGGCUGAUACCGCCCAAGAGUUCAUAUCGACGGCGGUGUUUGGCACCUCGAUGUCGGCUCAUCACAUCCUGGGGCUGAAGUAGGUCCCAAGGGUAUGGCUGUUCGCCAUUUAAAGUGGUACGCGAGCUGGGUUUAGAACGUCGUGAGACAGUUCGGUCCCUAUCUGCCGUGGGCGCUGGAGAACUGAGGGGGGCUGCUCCUAGUACGAGAGGACCGGAGUGGACGCAUCACUGGUGUUCGGGUUGUCAUGCCAAUGGCACUGCCCGGUAGCUAAAUGCGGAAGAGAUAAGUGCUGAAAGCAUCUAAGCACGAAACUUGCCCCGAGAUGAGUUCU
rnacentral:rRNA from 3 species